GAUGAACGCUAGCGGCAGGCCUAAUACAUGCAAGUCGAACGAGAUUACGAGGCUUGCUUCUUAUGAAAGUGGCGCACGGGUGCGUAACGCGUAUGCAACCUACCUUAAUCAGGGGGAUAGCCCGAAGAAAUUCGGAUUAAGACCGCAUAAAAACACAGGAUAGCAUUAUCCAAUGUUCAAAUAUUUAUAGGAUUAAGAUGGGCAUGCGUGUCAUUAGCUAGUUGGCGGGGUAACGGCCCACCAAGGCGACGAUGACUAGGGGAUCUGAGAGGAUGACCCCCCACACUGGUACUGAGACACGGACCAGACUCCUACGGGAGGCAGCAGUAAGGAAUAGUGGUCAAUGGAGGGAACUCUGAACCAGCCAUGCCGCGUGCAGGAAGACAGCCCUCUGGGUCGUAAACUGCUUUUAUUCGGGAAUAAACCUUUCUACGUGUAGGAAGCUGAAUGUACCGAAGGAAUAAGGAGCGGCUAACUCCGUG
rnacentral:rRNA from 1 species